AAAGUUGCAGCUGGAGCAUGGACUGGCGGUUGAUAGAGUGUAUACAGGAUCAUUUAUGACUUCUCUUGAUAUGGCAGGUUUCUCGAUUUCCAUCAUGAAAGCGGAUCAAGCUAUUUUGCAACUUUUGGAUGCUCUAACUAAAGCUCCAGCUUGGCCUGUUGGUGUUGACGGUAGUCAUCCACCACCCAAGAUUCCUGUUCCAGUCCCUCCAUCUCGUUCUACUAAGAGUGAUGAGGAACUUGUUACUGCUUAGGUUGUCAUCUUGGCUUGCCUUGUCCAUGGGUUUGUUACAGUCUUAGUUGCUAGUGAAGGUCAUGCAAUAACUCUGGCUGUUGAGGGUUUGUUAGGAGUUGUGUUUACAGUGGCUGCAUUAACAGAUGAAGCAAUGAAUGUUGGUGAGGUUCAGAUCACUUCCAGGACUUGUCAACCAGACCCAAAGGGAUAUCAUAGAAUGUGAGAAUUUUGUCUUCCAGACAAGUGCACAAAGGAUGAUGAAUUGAAGGAUGGAGCAAGUUUCAUGCAUGGUUUACUUUUGUGUAUCUUGUAAUGUUUUUGUUUUUCAUUUUUGAAGUAAAAAAUGUUCAAGAAACUUUAUUAUGUUAUGCUUUCAAACUUAAGUUAGAACUAAG